rnacentral:lncRNA from 1 species
AUAACCCGACCCAUUUUUAUGAUUACACAUAACAUUGUACGUGUUUCCUAAACCUAAUCCCAUUGUCGUCGCAAAAUUAUCUCCUGCACCUGAAAAUUGUUGUCCAUCGCCAUUCAAAGCUAAGUCUUGCAGCUCUUGUGAAUUACUGAUCAUCUAGCAUAGUUUACUCCUACUAUUGACCUUGCCAGCUCUCAAAAUUGAAGGAUUCUUCUGCUCCUGUUGUUUCCUCUUCUUUAACAUCUCUUUGUGGCUGUAGAUGUACUCUCUGGUGUAAGAGUUGAAGAUCCCCUUGAUGUAUUGUUUUGAGAGAGCAUUCAUAGGAAUUAUUUGAAAACUGAGUAAGUACACAUCCAUCAUUUUCCUCCAACCUUCAUUAGUAGCUUCCGCUGCUCUUUGAAAUUUCACUCCCUUUUUGCAAUUGUUGUAGUAAUUAAGCUCCCGAGAAACUCAAAUCCACAUGCAAACCAGGUUUUCUACACUCCAUCAUCUGCGUUGAUCUUCCUCUUUGACCGACCUUUAUCUGUUAUGACUUAAGGGCUAGAUCUAGAACAUUCAAAGCUCAAUUUGUCAUUUGUAUGUAUUGUCCUAUAGGUAUUUGCAAACUUUAAACAGAUUUGCUCCAUUACUCUGCUAAAACUCUUAUUCUGAUAUAUGGACAUUGCAAUUUAUCACUAUUCAGUAUCUUUCUUCCAUGUGAUUGCAAAUGCUGAAAACUUGUGUAAACAAAAUCUCCACUGUCAAUUGCAAAAUUAGUUAGAUAAUCUGCCAAUUGAUUCAUCUCCCCCAGUAUGUGUUAAUAUUGAAAUUGCUUGCUCUGCAUUAGCUUCCAUAUUUGCUCUACUUGAUCUGCAAUGUGCCAAGGACAACUCCAUUCCCUAGUGAGAACUUUCUGCAUCAACAUUGAAUCUGUUUGGAUGAUUAACUUGUUUGUUUGAGUUACAUUAGCAUGAGUAGUUGCCUGUAAGAUAGCUUCAGCCUCUGUUAUCACAUUAGAAGUAUCAUCCAUUCUACCACCUUUUGAAUAAAUUAGGUCCUCAUUCUUAUUCCUUAGACAGAAUGUAUAUGAGUUUAUCCCCAGGUUACCUCUAAAUGCCCCAUCAGUGUUAUAGAUGACCCAUCCAAUUUGAGGAAAGGUCCACACAACCUUUGUAAUCUUUAUUUUUGGUUUCCUCCCUUCAAGAGCUUUAAGGAUAUCUGACUAGCUACUAGGAACUUUGUUCUUGGAUUUCUUACAUGCAGAAGUAAGCUCACAUUCAUGGUAAUAUUAAAGAUUACCUUAUGUAGAGACACACCUUUACUUUCAAACUUCAAGUUGUUUCUUCUCCUCCACAGUUCCUAUGUAAUCAUACUUGGAACUGACUGAUAGUAUGGCUUGAAUUUGCAUUUGACAUCCUUACUCCACCAAGUUAGAAUAGUGUCUCUAAGGGAUAGUCCAUGUAUGAAAAUACCUACACAUGAAGCAAAAUAGGACCAUGUCCCGUUAGCUAAAUUUGAUCUUAGAAACACAUGAGAUAGUGUUUCUUGAUCCGACUGCAAACAGCACCAAUAUUUUGUUGGUCCUUCAACCCUCUAUUUUCUCAUUAAAUAAUCCACCGAGACCUUUCUUUUCCAUAGUAUCCACAUUAAGAAGGUCAUUUUAAAAGGUAAACCCUUCACCCAAAUAUGAUUUUACAAUGCAUUCUUCUCCUAUUUUUGCCUUAUGUAUCCCAUACAAAUUUAACUGAGAAUUUACCAGAGAUUUCUAGCUUUCAAAUUGGAAUGUCCACUCCUCCCUCUUCAAUUCUGGAACUAAUCUUAGCUUGAAUAUAUGUAACAACCUCUUGAGGUAGAAAAUUCAUUAAUAAAUGGUAAUUCCAUUGAGAACCAGCAACCAGCUUCUUUACCUGCAUUCCUAUAUUUCCUUGCCUGAGAAAAAUAUUAAACAAAUCUUUAAUAGCUGUCCAAUUAUCCAACCACACAUUGGCUUGACCUCCUCUGAUCUUCCAUAGGAUUUGAUGAUCACUUGAGAACCAACACCAACUUUUCAAUAGAUUGCAUUAGGAUGUUGUUUCCUGCAAUACUUGUUGUGCAUGAACCUAUUCCACAUUGAAUCUUUAGUUCUGAAAUUCCACCAGAGUUUACAAAGAAGAGACAUGAGACAUCUUGUAAUCUUCUGAAUCCCAAUCCUCCUUCUUCUACUGUAUAGCAUAAUUUACUCCAACUAACCAGUGGCUACUUUUACCUCCAAUGUGCUUGCUCCAAAAGAACUAAGCAAACAUUCUUUGGAUAGCUGAUAGGACAUUAACUGGUGGGUUCAUGACAGAUAAACAAUGAAUGGGUAUGCUUUGUAAAACACUUUUUAUGAGAACAGACCUACCCCCAAAAGAUAAUAAUUUACUCUUCCAUCCUUGCAGCUUACUACUAAUCCUAUGCAUGAUUGACUGAUAAAACUCUUUCUUCUUCCUCAUAUGAAAAAUUGGACACCCUAGAUAAUUGAAAGGAAAUUGCUUUCUUGAUAUACCAGUAGCCACCUCUGCCAAUAUUACAGUGCCCUGAGAAACUCCUUGAUGCAUAUAAAUAGCACUCUUCUCUUUAUUAAUUUUUUACCCCGAGACCUUCUCAUACUAAUCCAAUGUAUCAGUGACCUUUUGCAAAGUAAUCAAAUCAGCUUUGCAUAAAAUGAUCAUAUCAUCAACAAAUCCAAAGUGAUUGACUUUAGGAUUUCCCCUGGGCAUGCCAAAUGGUUUAAAAUCUUUAUUACAAAAAAGAGCCUUAAGAGCUCUUGAAAAUACCUCAGCUGCAAUGAUAAAAAGUAUAGGUGAUAAGGGAUCACCUUGCUUCAAACCCCUUAUAGGCCUGAAAAACCCUUUAGGUUGGCCAUUCAAUAAUAUUGAAUACCAGUUAUUGUCCAACAGUCUAACCACCCUACCAAUUAGUAAUUCACUAAAUCCAACUUUCCUUAGGACUUUAGUGAGAAACAGCCAAUCCACUCUGUCAUAAGCUUUCAUCAUGUCAAACUUAAUGACUAUAUUUAGAACUUUGCCUCUUUUACUGAUGUCAGCUAUGAUCUCCUGCACCACUAAUAUACUCUCUGCAAUACUCCUUCCCUAAACAAAACCUGCUUGUUCUUCAGAGAUAACAUGUGCCAAAACCUUCUUAAGUCUUUCAUGCAAAAUUUUGGAGAAAAUUUUGUCGAUAAAAUUACUUAAAGAGAUAGGUCUCAAGUCAGAAAAUAUAUUAAUUACUAGUUUCUUAUGGAGUAGUACCAAAUUUGUAUGUGUGAUAAAUUUUGGUAACUGAUGUCCACUAAAUAAAUCUAGAACCAUUUGAUACACAUCCUCCUUAAUUAUUUCUCAUGCAUUCUAAAAAAAAUGCCCCUGUCAUGCCAUCUGGUCCAGUUGUGCUGCUUCUAUUUAGACUCAUAACUGUUUCUUUCACCUCUUGCAUGUCAGGUACUUUGUCUAUGUCUAUAUUCUAACUUUCAUUAACAAUAGUAGGGAUAUGUUCAAGCAUCUGAAAAUCAUCGUUAUGAUCUCCUUUAGUAAACUGCUUCUGAUAGAAUUAUUUUGCAGCCCCUGCAAUUAGAUUUGGUUCUUCCACCCAUUCUCCAUCCUCAUUCUAAAUCCUAUUGAGCUUGAGUCUUCUUCAUCUACCUUUAACCACUGUAUGCAAGAAUUUUGUGUUUCUUUCACCAUCUUUAAACGAAUCUAUUCCAGCCUUCUGUCUCCAAGACUUCUCUUCCCUUCCAAGUUGUAAACUUAGGAUAACUUGAGCUUUAAUAACAAUUCCCUAUUUGCAGCAGAUGGAUAUUCUUCAAAUUGUUUUUCUCUAACCUUGAUAACUUCUUCCAAUGUAGCUAUCUCUUGGAAAAUUUUACUAUAACACUCUCUACUCCAUUUAGUUUAAGCAGCCUUCACUCUUUUUAUUUUUUGAUAAAACAAAAUAAAAGGAUUUUCCAUAAUAUCAGUCUUCCAGUUCUCCUGAAUAAUUAUCAAGUAUGAUUCCUCUUUCAACCACAUAUUCAAGAACCUGAACAGUUUAAUGAUAGACUUUUUCUCAAUACUGAAGUUGAUUUUUAAAGGAGUGUGGUCAGAUCCACUCCUUAGUAAGUAUUCAACUUCCAAUACUAGGAAAGUAUGCAGUAACUUCUCAUUGAUCAAAAUUUUGUCAAUCCUUUCAAAUAUGCACUCCUCAUCUGUUCUACCAUUCCACCAAGUAAACUUGCUUCCUUUAAAACCUGGAUCCUCAACAUUACACAAACUUAUACACUGUUAAAAUCUUCAGUUUCAGCAACUUUUACUGGUAAGCCUCUCAAUUUUUCUUCCUGACUAGUUAUCACAUUAAAAUCUCCCCGUAUGAGCCAAAGAUCUUGCAUUUGUUGAGCCAUGUCUUCAAGAGAUUCCCAUAGAGCUAGUCUCUCUCUUUGUGAAUAUUUAGCAUAAAUUAGAGCAACCAUAACUGUGAUUCCAGCUUUCUGAUUCUCUAAUUUUAUUAUUAUUUAUUGUUCUUUAUCUCUAAUAAUAGUACACACUAUAUUGGCUUCCAAAAAAGCCCAUAUCUUACCAGAGAUAUUAGAGAUUGUUGUCUGCAUACCUAAUCUUCUGCUGUAAUCAUCAAUAGUCUUACUAUCUUGAAAAGGUUUCAUUAGUCCCACAAAUGCAAACUGGUACCUUUAAUGCAAUGUAAUAAGUCUAGUAAAUGCAUUUUGUGUGUUGACUGAUCUAAUAUUCUAUAUAAGAGCAUUCAUCCCAACUUAUUCUUCUUGGAGCUCCUUGUAUGUAUUGUACUAGUCUUCCCACCUUUGUGAUUCUUCCUUGGGAUGCCUUGUUUUUCUUUCAACCUAUCAAUUUGUUUAGGUGAUAAGUUGCCAUCAACUCCCAGCCUAUCUAUAGUCUGUUCCAAUUCAUCUUCAUCCAUUAUUGCAUUAUCCUUAUUACUGUACUGUAAUUGUUUUUCAACUUGCACAUCCAAAGGCAUGAUAUCUUCUAAAAUCUCCAUGACUUCUUUUUGAACAUCUGUCUGAAGAACAGCAACCUGCAUAUGACUCUUAUCUGUUGGAGAUUUUAGCAUUAAUGCACUGUGAUCUUCCUUUUCCCUAUUAUCAACUUGCUCUUGCUACCUCUUUUCAACUUGUUCUUGAUUACUUAUAACUAUCUCUAUGUUUUCUUUUGUUUGGUGCUACCAUUAAUUACUAAAGGUAUUAGUAACCCAUUUCUUUAUGCUCUCUAUGAUUUUUUGUUCCUUAUCCACCUUGUCUUGUUGAUCACCUUUAUUAUUCUCCACUUCAUGAUGUUCUUCUUCAAGGGCUUCAAAGGUGUUUAAAGUGGGCAUGUUAUUUACUUCCUCAUUCUGCACUUCUCCCAUUAUGUAGCCAAAUUUGUGUUUUAAUCCCUGUUCUGCCUUAAUGACCAUUGCAUUUUAUACAUCCCCCUCCUCCUCUAUGUAUUGGUCAUCUCUGGUACUUCUUUUACCCUGCCAGUUUCCUGCAUUUCUUUAUCAUCUUUAUUCUUUUCUUCAUCCUCCUUUUCCAUCAAUUCUGGAUGCAUAUUCCAGCAUGAGAUUUUAUCAUGUCCUUGAAGACAAUAUGUUUUGCAGUAUUUUGGUUUAUAAUCAUAAUGAAUAUGUAUCCAUUUGAAUUUUAUUUCCCUUGUAACAUCAUCUUCUUCAUUGAUUCGAACUCUUGUUGGUAAAUUGGCUACUAGAUCUACUUCAACCUUCACACAUGCACAACUUGGUCUCAUUUGAUUUUUAGUAUCCAUAUAAACCGUUAAAGGUUUACCUACUGCAGAGGCUAUUGAAAAAAUAGCUUCAUUUGCAAAUAAAUUGGGUGGUAGAUCUAGCAUUGAAAUCCAAGCUACUCCAAUGGUCGUUUCUACAUCAGGUUUGAACCAGGGAUCUAUAAUACCCCGUAUAUUUCUAAGCAAGGAAAUAAACCAUUAUUCCUACGUGUGAAACCACCUAUCCUGUGAUUCAUAUUUGAGUACAUGACUUACAAUGAGUAUCCUAGUGAGAAGAGAAGUUAUGAUGUGUUAAGCGUGUUUCAUAAGAGUCACUUAGAGUAAGGCAAGCUAAGAGCUUUCGAAUCCAUCAAGUUUUAGUGUUUGAUUUCGCAAGGGUCAUCUUUGAAUGAACAUAACUUGAUAUAUAUGUGGUAUUAUGGUAGGUUUAGACCCACCAUUUGUAUAGAAUCGAAUUAGCUUUCCAACAAUAUCAAUUUUACCAAAAUCCGACACCUAAGCAAGAAGUUAUGGCUUUGCAAAGUGGAGUACGCCGCCUAACAUAAGGUGUGCGACGCACAACCUAACUUAUGCCAUAAGGUGUGCGACGCACAACCUAAUGUGUGCUAUAAUGUGUGUGCCGCACAAUCUAGAUUAUGCGAUAAGGUUUACGCCGCAUAUCUUAUGGCCCAAGUGACGUAAACACUCCAUUUUUGGGUCAUUUUAAGGGCAAAAUGGUAUUUUUCACCCAUGUAUAAGCUCCUAAAAAUGGGUUUAGCCCCAAUUGAAGAAAAAUAUACUUCUAUUUCUCAAAAACUUUUCAAGAACAAGAUGGGUUCCAAUUGGGGGAUUCAAAUUCAAGAAGUUUCUCUGUUAAUCUUCGUAGGAUCACGAACUAAAGUAUGUAUUGUGUUGAUUUAUGGAUUUCUUUCAUCCAUAAAGCUCAAGAACCCUAUUUAAAUUAUGAAUCAUGUUAUUAUGUUGUGGGUUCUUCAAGUUUAUGUGAUGGUUGUUGUUUGAUUUCCAAGUUGGGAUCUUUAUGUGAAAUUAUGAAACUACGUUAGCAUAUAAAUUGAAUUUAUGAAUUUGGAGGUUUAUGAUUUGUAAAAUUUGAUGAUUUCACCUAUGCCUUAAGUUGUGCAUGUGAGGUGUUUGAUAAAAUGCCAAAAAGGGAUAUAAAUUAUGCCUUAGAGCUAAAUUAUGAUCCAAAUGAUAAAUGUAUGCUUUACCUUUAUUAUUAAAAUGACUUCUAUGAUAUUGUUGUGCAUUAUGAAUAUUUGAAGGAUUACUUAGGGGACUAGUUGAUGAAAUAUUGGUAUGUUGAUAUGUAUUCUGAUUCAUGUACAAUAUUAUGAUAAUCAUGUACUUUAUGAAAUCCUCAACUUAUUGUAUUAUGGAUUGCUGAUGUUGGUCAUGUAUUUAAGAAAGUCAUGCUUUGUCAGUUUCUUUCCAUCGAGUCCUGGGGGUACUUGUACUCGAAAGAUUAGAUGUAUGCUUAGAGACAUGUCAUGUUUUCAUGAUAUCUUCAAUCAAGCCAUGAUCCAUAGAAAUCAGUCAGUCAUGUGACUCAGAAAAGCUCAGUAAUUCAGUAACCUCAGUAAUCCCAUGAACUCAGACAGUUAUCAGAUAUCAGUAGUAUUUCGUCAGUCAUGAAAUUUAGUAAACCCAGUCGAUGUACAGUUCAGUUAAUCAUGUUCAGAGUCAAAUCAGAUGGGAGUAGGAAUUAGCCCCAAGUGAACCUAAGGAUAGGGACACACACAGUUAGAUGAGGGUGUGAUUCUUAAAAAUCAUCCUUGCAUUCCAGAACUAUGUAGCCAACAUAGGUUGAGACAUCAACAUUGUCCGAUGAGGGUUGAUAAAGUGGAUAAACACUGUCAGAUGAGGGUCCCUCUGUUCUCUUUUAGGGGACACUAUUGGAUGAGGGUCACCCACAGCUUGUCCUUACCGGUGGUGCGGUAUUGACACCCUUCCAAUUGGGGUUACAGAUUGAACCCCAACUCUGCCAUAAUGGCGUAUUAGGGGCAUAUCGGUUAGAUGACUACUUCCCACAGUUUCAUGUUAUAGAAUCAGGACUGUCAGAUACAGUCAUUCAGUCUCAGUAAUAAAACUCAGAUAGUUCUUCAGAUCUCAGGACUGUCAGAUACAGUCAAUUCAGAUACAGUAUGAAACUCAGCAAGUUCUAUCAGAUUCAGGACUAUCAGAUAUAGCCACUCAUAUUAUCAGUUAUAUCAGUUAUUAGAGCUCAGUCAGUAGUCAUGUUAGUUAUUAGUAAAUUCAUGUGAUCACGAUUUCAGAUAUAGUUACUAUAUAUACAUGUAUGUAUUCUCACAUUCAUAUUAGUCAGUUAGCCAGUAUUAUUCAUACAUAUAAACCCCAUGCAUUCAGCUUACCUCACAUGCAUACCAGUACAUUCAAAGUACUGACGUAUUUGCGCUAUGGUGUCUUAUACCAUAGGUUCAGAGAGACGAGUUCUAGAGCAUCAGUAGAUUCCAGUCUCAGUAUUCAGAGUUAGAAGUGAUUCCUCAUCUUUCAAGGACACGAUCAUCAUUUUAUUAUCUCAUUAGUUAAUUUAUUAGUUGGAGUUAGUUGGGGGCAUGUCCCAUCAACUUCUUAUUCAUACAAUCAUGUUUAGAGGCUUUUCAGACUACAGUAUGUUUAGAUAGCUUAUUUUAGUUUUGUUUUGGGUAUUUCAUACCCCAUCCAUAUGUUAUGAUUUAUCAGAUCUUAUGUUACAGUUUUGAACCUUAUGGCCUUUUAGUUCAUGUUUCUGCAUUAUAUAGUAUUUAUGUAGUAUACAGGUACAAAUAUCAAUCAUGGGUUAGCUUGUUGUCCUUUGGGGUCAUGAGCACCAUGUAACGUUCUGGGUACCAGAUUCGGGGCAUUACAAACUUGGUAUCAUAGCCUAAGGUUCAAUAGUGUCCUAGGAAGUCUGAAAGCCAUAUUUAGUAAAGUCUUGUGCAUGGGUGUGUUACGCGCCACAUUUAUGUGCAGGAGGCUAUAAGAUGUUUUAGGAAUAGUUUCCCUUCUUUCAGUAUUUAUGUCAUGCCAGUGAGCAUAAUCUUAAGUCAAUCUCUUAGUCUAAUCUGCUUCUUCUCUUUAUUUCAGAACUUGCCUCCCAUAGAAGAACCCAGUCUGUCCAAGAAGAUCCCUUGGACUAACAUGUUUCUCAUGCGGAUUUCAGGUUCGCAUUCACUACUCUUGUUCAGUUAGUUGCUGCUCAGAAUGAAUGACCAGCUAUCAUUCAGGACUUCACCUGAAUGAACCCUCUAUCUUUUCUUGAGUCUAAGGUAGAUGAGGACCGUCAUGAUUUUGUUGAUAAGGUUUAGAAGGUAACAAACAUCAUGGGGGUGACUAAUUAAGAGUACUGAGCUAGAUGCAUAUCAGUUGUAGGAUGUGGCUCAUACUUGGUUCAAACAGUGGAAGUCAGAGAGGUCGGAUGAUGCAGGUCCUAUAGAGUGGGAGGAGUUUGUCACUGCAUUCUUGGACAGAUUCUUUCCCCAAGAGCUUAGAGAAGCUAAGGUGGUAGAAUUCAUCAAUCUCAGGCAGGGCAACAUGAUAGUGAAAGAGUAUUAUCUUAAGUUUACUAAAUUAGCCAGAUAUGCCCCUCAUGUGGUUGCAGACAACAGGGCUAAGAUAAGUAAGUUCAUUUUAGGGGUAAAUGAUAGCGUGGUUAAUGAGUGCAAAUCCACCAUGCUGAAUAAUAACAUGACUUUAGCCAGGCUUAUGACUCAUACUCAGCAGAUAAAAGAUCAAAAGAUUAAGAUGAGAGAGAAGCAUAAUAAGAAAGCAAGGACAGGUAGUUUCAACUUUGCUCAGCCUAAAUCAGAAGGAGAAAACCAUUCUCAGUUUCAUCCUAAGUCAUCAGUUCCAACUCCUUCUUUGGCAAGUGAUCUAGCUUCUAUGUUUAGGGAUAGUGGUAGAAAUAGGGCACCAGGCUCUAAGUCUCAAGGCAGUAUCAGCAAUGCCCGAACUAAUCCCCUUUAUCAGACUUGUGGUAAGAACCGUAAGGGUACUUGUAGAGCAGGUAGAGAUGUCUAUUUUAUAUAUGGCAAGCCAGGCCACAGAGUCAGAGAUUGUCCUCAGUUAGGUCAUCAGAUUCAUCUCCACUCCUCAGCUCAGUUCGAUCGUUCGAAUCAGUAGGGUGCCACCUCCAGCGCUACUAGUGGGCAACACCCAAACAAACUCUAUGCUCUCUAGUCCCGACAAUAUUAGAAAAAUUCUCCUGAUGUGGUUACUGGUAUGUUACAGAUCUUUCAUGUGCAUAUUUAAACUUUUCUAGAUCCAGGUGUUUCCUUGUCUUUUAUUACUCUUUAUAUAGCAGGCAAUUUCAGAGUCAGUCCCGAAAUUCUAGCAGAGCCCUUUUCAGUUUCUACCCCAGUGGGUAAAACCAUCAUAGCCCGACGGGUAUACAAAAACUUCCUGGUUAUGAUAUUUCAAAAAGUUACUUCGGCAGACUUAGUUGAAUUAUAGAUGACUGAUUUUGAUGUCAUUCUCGCCAUGUAUUGGCUUCAUUCUUGCUAUGCCACAAUCGACUACAGAAACAGAAUAGUCCAAUUUAUGUUUCCAAAUGAACCCAUCCUAGAGUGGAAGGGUAGUAUAUUCACUUUUAGAGGUCCGCUUGUUUUCUAUCUUCGGGCACGGAAAAUGAUAUCUAAGGGAUGUGUCUAUCAUCUUGGUCAUGUUAAGGAAACUAGUUCUAAAACUCUCAGUCUUGAAUCAGUCCCAUUAGUGAAUGAAUAUUCAGAUAUCUUUCUUGAAGAUCUUCCAGGAAUUCCUCCCGAAAGAAAAAUAGACUUCGGCAUUGAUCUUCUUUCGGAUACUCAGCCUAUAUCUAUUUUGCCAUAUAGAAUGGCACUAACAGAACUCAGAGAACUAAAAGAGAAGUUGAAGGAUCUCUUAUAUAAGGGAUUCAUUAGGACCAGUGUGUCCCUGUGGGGCGCACUAGUCUUAUUCGUGCGCAAGAAAGACAGUUCUCUCAGAAUAUGUAUUGAUUAUCGUCAUCUCAAUAAAGUCACGGUUAAGAAAAAGUAUCCACUUCCUCGAAUCAAUGACUUUUUUGACCAACUUCAGGGUGCCAGUUAUUUUUCUAAGAUAGACCUCAGAUCUGGCUAUCAUCAGCUCAGAAUCAGAGAAUGUGACAUUUCAAAGAUAGCUUUCCGUACUCGGUAUGGUCACUUUGAAUUCUUAGUCAUGUCCUUUGGUCUUACCAAUGCCUCAGCAGCUUUCAUGGACUUAAUGAACCAUGUGUUCAAGAAGUACUUUGACAUGUUUAUCAUAGUCUUCAUAGAUGAUAUUCUGGUCUAUUCCCGUAGUGAUUGUGAUCAUGCAGACCAUCUCAGAAUUGUACUUCAGACUCUCAGAGAUCAUUAGUUGUUCGCCAAAUUUAGUAAGUGCGAGUUUUGGCUAAGGUCAGAAGUAUUCCUUGGUCAUAUCAUUUCCGGUGAUGGUAUUAGAGUAGAUCCUCAAAAGACCAAAGUGGUAAAAAACUGGCCCAGACCUGUCUCUCCAUCAGACAUCAAGAGUUUCUUGGGCUUGGCUGGCUAUUACAGAUGGUUUGUUGAGGAAUUUUCAUCUAUUGUAUCCCCUAUGUCCAGAUUGACUUAGAAGAAAGUCAAGUUUCAGUGGUCAGAUCCUUGCGAGAAGAGUUUUUGGGAGUUGAAGACUCGACUCACCUCAGCUCCAGUUCUAGCUCUUCCAGAUGGUUCAGAUGGGUUCGUAGUGUACUGUGAUGCAUCCAGAGUAGGUUUGGGUUGUGUCCUCAUGCAACAUAGUAAGUUCAUAGCCUACGCGUCCAGAAAACUUAAGCCUCCAGAUAGCUUAAGCCCCAUGAUAAGAAUUAUCCUACUCAUGAUCGUGAGUUAGCAGCCAUAGUAUUUUCCUUGAAGAUUUGGAGGCAUUAUCUAUACGGUGUUCAUGUAGAUAUAUUCACAGAUCAUAAGAGCCUUCAGUAGUCUUUUCUCAGAAAGAUAUAAAUUUUUGUCAGAGAAGGUGGUUAGAGCUCCUAAAAGAUUAUGACAUGAGUGUCCUUUAUUAUUCGGGCAAGGCCAAUGUAUUGGUUGACACUCUCAGUAGCCUGUAGUGAAUAUGGUUAGAACUGUUGAAAGAUUACAUCAUAAGUGUUUUGUAUUAUCCAGGAAAGGCUAAUGUUGUGGGAGACGCCCUUAGUAGACUAUUUAUGAGUAGUGUUGCUCAUGUCGGAGACAGUAAGAAGGAGUUAUCUCAGGAAGUCUAUCAGCUUACCAGACUAGGCGUUCGCUUAAUCGAUACAAAGGAGGGUGACAUAUGGGUUGAGAAUAGUUCAGAAUCAUAUCUAGUUUUUGAGGUGAAAGAAAAGCAAGAUAGGGAUCAAGAUAGGGAUCCCAUCUUAGUCAAGUUAAAAGAGUCAGUCAAGGAUCAUAAAGUAGAGGUUUUCUCCCAAGGGGGGAGAUAGUGUUCUACUUUGUCAGGGUCGUCUCUGUGUUCCAGGUGUAGAUGACUUAAGGCAACGAAUUCUUACAAAAGUGCAUGGUGAGAGCUACUCAAUUCAUCCAGGGGCCACAAAGAUGUAUCACAACUUAUGGCAAAUCUAUUGGUGGAGUGGGAUGAAGAGAGAUAUUGUAGAUUUUGUGGUUGAGUGCUCUACAUGUCAGCAGGUAAGAUAGAGUAUCAAAAUCCUAGUAGGUCCAUGUAGGAGUUUAGUAUUCCUACUUGGAAGUGGGAAGUUGUGAACAUGGACUUCGUGAUGGGUUUGCCUCGUACCCAUCAUCAUCAUGAUUUAGUUUGGGUCAUUAUGGAUAGAAUGGCCAAAUCAGCUCAUUUUCUUCCAGUAUAUACCUCUUAUUCAGCCAAAGAUUACACCAAGAUUUACAUCAGAGAGUUGGUUAGAUUGCACGGUGUUCCGCUAUCUAUUAUCUCAGACAAAGGUACUCAGUUCACCUCUUACUUCUGGAAAGCAUUCCAAAAGGGUCUUGGUACCCAAGUUCAUCUCAGUACAGCCUUUCAUCCUCAGACAAAUGGUUAAGCAGAAAGGAUCAUUCAAACUUUAGAAGAUAUGCUAAGGGCAUGUGCAAUUGAUUUCAAGGGAAGUUGGGAUGACCACUUGCCUUCGAUUGAAUUUGUAUACAACAACAGCUAUCAUUCCAGUAUUAAGAUGGCUCCAUUCUAAGCUCUCUAUAGUAGGAGAUGCAGAUCUUUAGUAGGUUGGUUCAAAGUUAGUGAGGCCUCAGUCAUAGGGCCUGACUUAGUAUUCGAUGCCUUAUAAAAAGUCCAGUUGAUCAGAGAAAGACUUCGGGCUGCUCAGAACUGACAGAAGUUUUAUGCAGAUAUUCAUAGAAAGAACCUCAAGUUCGAGGUUGGUGACUAUAUCUAUCUAAAUAUCUCUCCCAUGAAGGGAGUGAAGAGUUCGGCAAGAAGGGAAAGCUCAGUCCCCGCUAUGUCGGUCCCUUCAAAAUUCUCAGUCGCUUCGGCAAGGUAGCUUAUGAGCUCAAAUUGCCUUCAGAUCUAGCCACAGUUCAUCCAGUGUUCCAUGUCUCUUUGCUCAAGAAGUGUAUAGGUGACCCCAAUUUUGUAUUCCCUAGUCAGAGCAUAGAUGUUCAGAACAGCCUCUCUUAUGAAGAGAUUCCAGUCGAAAUUCUAAACUAUCAAACUCGUAGACUAAGGAACAACGAAGUCCCUCUGGUUAAAUUUCUUUGGCAAAAUUAGUUCGCUGAGGGAGAUACUUGGGAACCAGAAGCAUAUAUACUUACCAAGUAUCCUCAAGGUAACAGUUCUCCUUAAGCUUACACAGUUUCAUGUUCAGUGUUCAUCAAACUUGGUAUUAAAUACCAUUGCAUAUUCAACCAUGCAUUCAUGUAUCAGUUCAUUUAUAUAAUCAUGCAUCAGACAUGCAUUCUCAUUGUGACAACAUUAGUUCAUCAUAACACUCAGUCAUGCAUUCAUGAAUCAGUUACACAAGCAUUAAAUAUGUAUGUUCAGUAUGAUGUGUUCAGUUAUCAGUCAUGUCAGUCAUGUAAUCAUGCUUCGGUUGUUCAUGUUCAAUAUGUAGAUUAGUUUAUCCUUUCUCCCCUCUCAAUCAGUCUCAUUCAAGGACGAAUGUUCCCUAGAGGGAGAUAUUAUAAUACCCCAUAUAUUUCUAAGCUAGGAAAUGAACCAUUGUUCCUACAUAUAAAACCUCAUAUCCUGUGAUUCAUAUUUAAGUACAUGAAUUACAAUGAGUAUACUAGUGAUAAGAGAGCUUAUGAUAUGUUAAGCGUUUUCAUAAGAGUCACUUAGAGUAAGGCAAGCUAAGAGCUUUCAAAUCCAUCAAGUUUUAGUAUUUGAUUUCGCAAGGGUCAUCUUUUAAUGAGAAUAACUUGACGUAUAAAUGGUAUUUUGGCAGGUUUAGAUCCACCAAAUUUUAGAGAAUCGAAUUAGCUUUCCAACGAUACCAAUUUUACCAAAAUCUGACACCUGAGAAAGAAGUUAUGGUUUUGCAAAGUGGAGUGUGUCGCCUAACAUAAGGUGUGCGACGCACAACCGAACUUAUGCCAUAAGGUGUGUGAUGCACAACCUAAUGUGUUCGAUAAGGUGUGCGCCGCACAACCUAGAUUAUGCAAUAAGGUGUGCGCCGCAUAUCUUAUGGCCCAAGUAACGUAAAUACUCCAUUUUUGGGUAGUUUUAAGGGCAAAAUGGUCCUUUUCCACCCAUAUAUAAGCUCCCAAAACCGGGAUUUAUCCCCAAUUAAAGAAAAAUAUACUUUUUUUUCUCAAAAAUCUCUGAAGAACAAGCUAGGUUUUCAAUUGGGGGAUUCAAAUUCAAGAAGUUUCUCUGUUAAUCUUCGUAGGAUCACGAACUAAAGUAUGUAUUGUGUUGAUUUAUGGAUUUCUUUCAUCCAUAAAGCUCAAGAACCCUAUUUAAAUUAUGAAUCAUGUUAUUAUGUUGUGGGUUCUUCAAGUUUAUGUGAUGGUUGUUGUUUGAUUCCCAAGUGGGAUCUUUAUGUGAAAUUAUGAAACUACGUUAGCAUAUAAAUUGAAUUUAUGAAUUUGGAGGUUUAUGAUUUGUAAAAUUUGAUGAUUUCACCUAUGCCUUAAGUUGUGCAUGUAAGGUGUUUGAUAAAAUGCCAAAAAGGGAUAUAAAUUAUGCCUUAUAGCUAAAUUAUGAUCCAAAUAAUAAAUGCAUGCUUUACCUUUAUUAUCAAAAUGACUUCUAUGAUAUUGUUGUGCAUUAUGAAUGUUUGAAGGAUUACUUAGGGGACUAGUUGAUGAAAUAUUGGUAUGUCGAUAUGUAUUCCCAUUCAUGCACAAGAUUAUGAUAAUCAUGUACUUCAUGAAAUCCCCAACUUAUUGUAUUAUGGAUUGUUAAUGUUGGUCAUGUAUUUAAGAAAGUCAUGCUUUGUCAGUUUCUUUCCAUCGAGUCCUGGGGUUACUUGUACCCGAAAGAUUAGUUGUGUGCUUAGAGCCAUGUCAUGUUUUCAUGGUAUCCUCAGUCAAGCCAUGAUCCAUAGAACUCAGUCAGUCAUGUGACUCAAGAAAGCUCAGUAAUUUAGUAACCUCAGUAAUCCCAUGAACUCAAUCAGUUAUCAAAUAUUAGUAGUAUGCUGUCAAUCAUGAAAUUCAGUAAACCCAGUCGAUGUAUAAUUCAGUUAAUCAUGUUUAGAGUCAAAUCAGAUAGGAGUAGGAAUUAGCACCGAGUGAACCCAAGGAUGGGGACACACACUGUCAGAUGAGGGUGUGAUUCUUAGAAAUCAUCCUUGUGUUCCAGAACUAUAUAGCCAACAUAGGUUGAGACAUCAACACUGUCCGAUGAGGUUGAUGAGGUGGAUAAAAACUAUCAGAUGAGGGUCCCACCACUCUCUUUUAGGGGACACUUUUAGAUGAGGGUCACCCAUAACUUAUCCUUACCGGUGGUGCGGCAUUGACACCCUUCCAAUUAGGAUUACAGAUUGGACCCCAACUCAUCCAUAAUAGCGUAUUAGGGGCAUGUCGAUUAGAUGAAUACUUCCCACAGUUUCAUGUUAUAGAAUCAGGACUUCCAGAUACAGUCAUUCAGUCUCAGUAAUAAAAGUCAGAUAGUUCUUCAGAUCUCAGAACUGUCAAAUACAGUACGAAACUUAGCUAGUUCCAUCAGAUUCAGGACUAUCAGAUACAGUCACUCAUGUUAUCAGUUAUCAGAACUCAGUCAUAAGUCAUGUUAGUUAUCAGUAAAUUCAUGUGAUCACGAUUUCAGAUAUAGUUACUAUAUAUGCAUACAUGUAUUCUCAUGUUCAUAUUAGUCAGUUAGCCAGUAUUGUUCAUGCAUAUGAACCCCAUGCAUUCAUCUUACCUCACAUGCAUACCAGUAUAUUUAAAGUACUGACGCAUUUGCGCUAUGAUGUCUUAUACCAUAGGUUUAGAGACACGAGUUCCAAAGCAUCAGUAGAUUCCAGUCUCAGCAUUCAGAGUUAGAAGUGAGUCCUCAUCUUUUGAGGACACGAUCAUUAUUUUAUGAUCUCCUUAAUUAAUUUAUUAGUUGGAGUUAGUUGGGGACAUGUCCCAUCAACUCCUUAUUCAUACAGUCAUGUUUAGAGGCUUUUCAAACUACAGUAUGUUCAGAUAGCUUAUUUCAGUUUUAUUUUGGACAUUUCAUACCUCAACCAUAUGUUAUGAUUUAUCAGAUCUUAUGUUACAGUUUUGAACCUUAUGGCAUUUCAGUUCAUGUUUCCCCAUUAUAAAGUAUGUAUACAGUAUACAGGUACAGAUAUCAGUCAUGGGUUAGCUUGUGGUCCUUCAAAGUCAUGAGCACCGUGUAACGUUCUGGGUACCAGAUUCGGGGCGUUACAGGAUCCCACUUAAGGGUUCUCAUCUGCCACAUUCUUUCUUUUGAUUUUAUAUAAAUUGUUGUUGUCGACAUUAAAUUAACAUAAUCUUCUAAGAUAUUCAGCUU